AACGAACGCUGGCGGCAUGCCUAACACAUGCAAGUCGAACGAGACCUUCGGGUCUAGUGGCGCACGGGUGCGUAACGCGUGGGAACUUGCCCUUAGGUUCGGAAUAACUCCCCGAAAGGGGUGCUAAAACCGGAAAUUGUCUCCGGACAAAAGAUUUAUCGCCUUUGGAUGGGCCCGCGUUGGUUUAGCUAGUUGGUAGGGUAAAAGCCUACCAAGGCGACGAUCCAUAGCUGGUCUGAGAGGAUGAUCAGCCACACUGGGACUGAGACACGGCCCAGACUCCUACGGGAGGCAGCAGUGGGGAAUAUUGGACAAUGGGCGAAAGCCUGAUCCAGCAAUGCCGCGUGAGUGAUGAAGGCCUUAGGGUUGUAAAGCUCUUUUACCCGGGAUGAUAAUGACAGUACCGGGAGAAUAAGCUCCGGCUAACUCCGUG
rnacentral:rRNA from 1 species